AGCUUCUGCUGGUGUUUUGUAGGUGAGCCCAGGAUAGGGGUGGCAAAGAUGUCACAUGGUGAGACGCCGUUGUGAUUGUUCUCCAAGGAUUUUUUGCUCCUUUUUAUGCCACGCAGACAGAAAUAUUAGAGUGUAUGACAGUGUAUGCAAAUAAUGCCCCUGACAGUCAGAUGAGCCUGCUUAUCUCUUCUGGCAUAAUUACACCUGGCAUCACCUUCUUGCAAGUCUCCUCAGAUUAAAUAACACUGCCUGAGAAAGGAGAAUACUCCAGUUCCUAGCACAGCAGCUGGAGUCCUUACGUGAGCCAAGCCAAAACUACUAAGUGCCCUUGGCUUCUUUGGGUGGCAGGAUGCAUACUGUGCAGCAUGUGUUUAUGCACCAAGAGCAGCUGACUGAGCAGAAUCAGGCAAGGGAGCAAUGGUGUGAGACUGUUGAGCUGGAGCUGGGAGCCCUGAGGAAGGUUUGCUUGAGCCCUGCCCAGGGCCUUCAUCUCUUUUUUAUAUAAAGCUCUAGUGAGCUCUUCCAUGGGUUUGUUUCCAUUCAACUUUGUGCAGAAUUGCUUUUCAAAAUUGUUGGCUUAAGCAGGAUUUCACUGGAGGCCAGCUGCUCUAAGCACCAACCUGACAACAAGGAGGCAAACGGGAGUGCUGAAUUCCCUUCACUUCAGUAAAAAACCUUGUUGAUGUAAAUGGAGAAGGCUCAUAGAACUGGAGGAUGGAAAAUACCUGCCAGGUCAUCUUGUCAGCCCUUCUGCCCACCGAGGGCUUUUCCUUAAGUAUCUUCUUGAGAAUAUUGAUGGCUCUAGUUAUAAAACCAUUCAAGUAACAGGGCUUGUGUGGCUUUCCUGGGCCAGACAAGGUGUGCUCUUGGAUAACUUUCCUUGUCUCAGAGCUUUCCCUGUCACUUUUAUUAAUGAGUUUUUGCUUUAGCACUGUGAUACUUUUGUGAUUUUCACCGAUUCACACAUUGGAGAGCCUCUGGAGACCACUGGCCUUACAGCUCGACCCCCUCCUGACAUUCUGGAAUCAAUUUGAUGCAUAUUUCUUGGGCUUUGUUUGACAAAAACCCACUGUGUUUGCAGCUUAGGCCAAACAUCUCAUGAAUCACUUGAAUAACAACUGGGAGAAGAUUCCAGUUCAGAGCCUCGGAGCCGCAGCGGCUCUGCCACCCCGGAGCCCAGCCUUUGGCUCCUGUGCAGCUGUAGGUGCAGGCAGCAUGGCAGCGCUGCAUGGGGCCAGUCUGCAUCACCCUGCCUGGAAAUGGCCUUCAGCCAGACGUUCCUUUUUGACUGUCACCUGAGCACAGGGAUUAUCUCCAGCACUGCAUUCACUGCCCUUACACUACCUCAUGCUAAGCUCUGCGGUGCCGAGGAGUGCAGAGCAAUGCUCCUUAAGGGCUGUUAGCGCUGAGGCCUGCAGAGCACGUAGGACUCGCUCUGUUCCCACUGACUGAGCUGGGUUAGGGCAGCCCAGAGCCACGCACUGAGCCACCCCAGCCCUGGCCGGCGGUGCACACAGCAUUGGUGAUGAUGUGAGCCGUGGCGCAGAGCAGAGCCCGAGCGCAGGAGCAGAGCGGGGUCCAGCCGCGGCGUCCAGGCUGUCGUGCCAAGGUACUGCAGAGGCUUCGACCGCAAGUACAUAUUGCUGGCAGGACAACAGCAGUGAGAAAAACAGUCCCCAAGCAGUAAAUAUGGGCAAAGCUCUCGAUAUAAUGGAAAAAUACAGAUGCAUCUGCAUUAGAGUGUAAGACCUCUAACGAGUUAUUUCUAUCCCCCCCGUUUCCUGCUAGUGUGGCUUUCCUAGAAAUGGACACUGAGUCCUCGUUAAUGGACCCAACUGGGGCCUCUGCCUGUACUGCCUUUCACUCACCUGCCUGGAUACCCAUUUAUUCCUGGAACUGCAGCACUGGGAAAAUAGCACUUUAAAGAGCUCUCGCUGAAUUCUGUGGUUGAAAACCAUGCAAAAUGAGCUGAAGAAGUAAGUGUGUGGAGAUACUUGCUGCUUUUAGUGUUCACGUUGUAGUGCAGUCAGUUGGGAUCCAGCUUUGCAGAAUGACCUUCUGUGUGUUACUUUUGUAAAAAGCCAGAAAGCAGAUGCAACUCCUUAGCGUAGAACAGAGCUGGUGAUAGGAUCCUAUAUAGCUUUCCUGGAAAAUGUUGAUUUUCUGAUACUUGUAGAGUCUAUCUUUUGGAAAUUCUCAUUUUCUAGUAAAGCAUUUGGCAUAGUUUUAUAUAUUUAUGGGGUUAAAGUACUUCAAAUCAUACAAAAGUUUCUUCUGAGCAUUUUUUGUUUCUUUCAGCCGGAUUUUUUUUGAAGGUGAGAACUGCAAACUCACCAGGGUGCUCUCCUGUUGAAAACUGCCAACCAUUGCAAACAUCUUCAGCUGCUUUACCCUUCUCCCAGUGACCUUUGGACCAUUUGGCUGAUUGCAGCCAAAUGCAAUGUGGAAGUCGUGGAAGGAGCUCAUCAGAACAGGUCUCGCUGCAGAUAAGAUGCCUGAGAGCCCACGGAGGCAGGGAGGAGCAAGAGAGCACAGCUGGGACAGGAGCCAGGGAACAGCUUGGCACAGUGCUUCAUCCAUCCUGUACCGCAUCACCGCACUGCUUCCCUUCUCAGCAUCUUUCUGGAUGCAUGUUGAAAUGGAGGGCAAGUUCUGGAACAGAGGCACAUUUUUCAGUACGCUAUGCAGAGCCCAGUGUAACACACUUCUAAUAUCAGGUGACUGCUGUAAUAAACAGCUAUACAGACCGCUGGCCUGAUCCAUUCUCAUACAACAGGAAUUUUCCUGCUUUGUCUUUUUCUAAUCAGUAAUUCAAAAAGAUCCUUCCCUGGAAUUGCUGUAAUCUCUGAAAAUGACUGAUCUGUCCUCGUCAGUAUUUCUUUUCCUCCUCUGUUCUGAACGCUUCUCCCUGUUGUGCUGCUAAUGCUCAUCUGUAUGCAGCUUUCCUUACGUUUUGGCAGACAUGGGAAAUUUCAGCAGCAGUAAAUUUGAAUGGAUAGAAUUAAGAAGGAAGACAGCUUUCUGGAACACAGAGCAAGAGCAAGGCUUUUUUCUUUUUCUUUUUUUUUUCUUUUUUUUUUUUUUUUCCUAGAUAUAUCAUCUAUGAAUUCUCACCUGGGACUGCUUUUAUAUAGAAAAAAAAUCAUGUGCCUAAAUGUCUAUUGGCUGCACCUGGAAUUGGAAGUAGUCUUCUGCUCCAGUCGUAUUUCUCAGUUGCCUGUCCCUGGAAGGAGCCCUCAGGAUCAAACUUUGACUCGUCAGAUUUUAUUCCCCUGGCCUUUUUGCUCCCUGUGAACAUGAUAUUCAGUAACUUGUUGUAGUAAACUGUUGGACUAGGCAUGAGGUACCUAUUUUUCUCUGUCUAGCAGUACAAAAUAGAUUGAUUCUGGGUGCAAGUUGGUGUAAAUCCACUUCUGUGGGGUCACGCUGAUCUGUGCCACCAGAACUGUGAGCUGAGCCUUGCACCCUGAGCCAAGCCUGCUUCCUGCCUCCAGCACGUGCUCCUUUGUUCCCUGGGCUUCCUUCAGAUCAUCCUUCUUACCAGGGUAACCAUAUACUUCCCUGUGUGCCGUGCAGGAGGAAUGCUGUGGGCAGCUUUCUAAUCCCUGAACAAAGCUGGAGGCAGCACCUAGUAUAUCACAUCUCCAUGCACUGAACACGGCCCCUCCAGGCCUGGCCUGCCCACUUGACAUCUCCUCAACCCGUGGGCAUCUUUCACUCCCCAGAGCUCCUGCUGCACACCAGUACAUCUUACAUUAGGAAUAUUUUCCAGAUGUUUGUCUUAAAUUGGCCUCUGCUGGCUUCCUCCCCUUUUCUCCUAGCUGAACCCAGUUGCUUUGAGGAGGCUUUUCAACCGCAGUGCUUUUAAGCCAAAGCAUUACAGGCUGGUAGCACCACAGGAAGUAUUUUCACCGGCUCUGAAGCAAUUAGUGACUACAGGAGUCCAAAAAACCCAUGGGAGGAAUCAGCAUCCGUGGGGGCUUGCAGCCUGCAGGGACCAGCGUUCCUCCCACAGCACACCUCUCCACCUGGCUCCUGGGCCCAGUGUGCUCCUCGUCCUCACUUUGGGUCCUUGUCCUCUCUUAUGGCCCUGUGCAGCAGUGUGUCCUGGAGACGUAAAGCAGCAUGAUGCCACCAAUGUGACCUGGGUCCCGUGUAUGUCAGGACCGUGCUGCUGUGAGGCUUAUGGUGGUACUGAGUGGGGACACCCAGCUCAGCCCUUGAGAGCAACAGGCGGCUGUGCUGCUGAAUGCAAAGCAGCACUCACAGCUCCAUCCCGUGCCUGCAUGGCCAUGCUGGGGCAUGGUGCAGAGGUGCUGCAUGGUGCAUAUAGGGUUUUGAGAUGCUUUGCUUUUCCUGGGUCUCAGUGUCCUAUGUGUCACAUUCCAGGGCUGGGCUGCUGGUAUGGAGGAGGUUCCUGCUAGGAGGAGAUGUGGGCUUGUGCCCUUAGCUUACUGGAUUUGCUCUGCGUUACCCUCUGUGUGUCCUGGUUCCCUCCCUCCUUAAAAAAGAGACAAGAAAAUUGACUGUGUUUGUCAGCAGCUGUUGGGGCCAGCUGUACCUAUUGCUCUGUGCCCAGGGCAUCAAAUGCAAGCUGCAUCCAUUUCUCUGGGAGAUCUCCUGGCCAGCUACACCCUUCCAGCAGAAACUCUACUGUGCCGGCAGUGAUGUUGGGAGUUCAUUUGCAGAAUAGCUCUGAGAGUGACAGCUGUGACCUUGCACUGCGCAUACAGAAGCCAACAGGACCAAUUUCACCAGCCUGUCACCGUUACCAUUCCUCCAAAAGAGAAGCUGAGGAAUUCUACCCUCCUUACCUCUUAGGAGAAUCUUGUUUUGAUCUUGUUUUCAUCCUAUGUGGUCCUUAACCCCAUCAGCAUGUUUAAUUAAGCACUAUCCUAAAAACCAUGAUAGUAGGUUGCUUCAUCUAAAGAUAUGGAAUCUGUGACUUUAUGAGAAGAAAGUUGUUUGCUUUUUUGGUAUUGAUCCACAUAAAAAUUAGCCUCUAAAGAAGAGCAAAAUGUGUGCUGGAAUGCGAAGGAAAGAGCAAGCUGGGCUGUGAUGCAAUACCCAGGAGCUCCACUUUGGGUCUGCAAGCUGCAUCUGCAAACAGCAGCAGCAAAAACAACAGACGAGCUCUUUUCGUGAUAUGUGAAGUGCAAUUAUGAGGUGAAAUAUGAAGUUGGUAUCUUAAUAUCUUAACGAUUCUGAAUUUAUUUUCAAAGUUAAGCUGUACAGAAUGAAUCAUUUAUCAGUGGGCCAUAUGGAAAGGCACUUAUCUAAACCUCCUUCCUAGUCCCAGGUGUGCCUCUUUGGCAAGAACAAAUCACACACAGCAUUUGGAAGAGAACUUAAAUUCCAGAUGCGCAAUUUUAAAAGAUGCAUUUGCAAAAAUAAAAUAAGGCCAAAUUCUGCAGUAUGUUAUUUUUCUGCAGCUUCAGUGAAGUUAAUGAGGUUCCAUGGGGGUAACUGACACAAACUACCACUCAAGGGAUCCCCAUUUUUACUGUGUUACUCCAUUUUCAUGCCAGCAUUAGUUCCUGAGGAGCUAGUCAGUUGCAGGGAAGAGAACCCAAUGAAAAGCGUCUGCUGCCUGAGGUUUUUA